CAUGAGUAGGCUAGCAAAAGGAAAUUUGUGAAACCAACAAAUGAAGAGCAAGGGGAAGAACCUAAAAAAGAAGAGAAAAAGAGUACUGAAAGUGAAGAUGAUGAAUGAGAAGAAGAAGACUAACAUCGAGAAGAAAAAAGAUGAAACAGAGGAUAAUGAAGACCAUAGUUCAGAAACAAAAGACACAACAACAGAGGAAGAAUCAACAGAUAACAAUACAAGAAUAAAGGAUACAUAAAAGGGAAAGAAGGUAACAAUCUAUCACCUUUAAUACCUAGAAAGGUUUUAUAGAAUAUAUUAUUCAAAUCACACUUUAUAAACAAAUCAUAAGUAAAAAGCGGCAAAAAGUAAAAAAAAAAAAAAAAAAAAGGCAAAGAAUCCAACGAGCACAAAGGGAAAGCUCCAUGGCACAUAGAAAAGCUAAGAUAUGGGUGGUCAAGUACACUAUAUUUGUGCAUUCUGCCUGCAUAUGACUCUAUUUUCACUCUCAUCUGUUAGUUGAAUUUAUGGAUUGAGAUAACUUAAUUAUAGUGAAAUCAAUAAAAUAUAUUUAAAGUA